rnacentral:miRNA from 1 species
UGGCCAAAAACUUUGUUUGGGUUUCUCUGGAAGAUGUAAUGGAAAAGCCUGAAUGAACUUUUUGGCCAAC